rnacentral:rRNA from 1 species
UAGGGAAUAUUGGGCAAUGGGCGAAAGCCUGACCCAGCCAUGCCGCGUGAAGGAAUGAAGGCGUUAUGCGUUGUAAACUUCUUUUAUUCAAGAGAAAAUGCCCCAUGCGUGGGGAGUUGAUAGUAUUGAAUGAAUAAGCAUCGGCUAACUCCGUGCCAGCAGCCGCGGUAAUACGGAGGAUGCGAGCGUUGUCCGGAUUUACUGGGUUUAAAGGGUGCGUAGGCGGCUUACUAAGUCAGGGGUUAAAAACAGCGGCUCAACCGUUGGGCUGCCUCUGAUACUGAUAAGCUGGAGUUCUCACGAGGUAAGCAGAAUUGGCAGUGUAGCGGUGAAAUGCAUAGAUACUGCCAGGAAUACCGAUUGCGAAGGCAGCUUACUGGAGAGAAACUGACGCUGAGGC